rnacentral:rRNA from 1 species
UACGUAGGGUGCAAGCGUUAAUCGGAAUUACUGGGCGUAAAGCGUGCGCAGGCGGUUUUGUAAGUCUGACGUGAAAUCCCCGGGCUCAACCUGGGAAUUGCAUUGGAGACUGCAAGGCUAGAAUCUGGCAGAGGGGGGUAGAAUUCCACGUGUAGCAGUGAAAUGCGUAGAUAUGUGGAGGAACACCGAUGGCGAAGGCAGCCCCCUGGGCCAAUACUGACGCUCAUGCACGAAAGGCGUGGGGAGCAAACAGG